GAACUGAAGAGUUUGAUCAUGGCUCAGAUUGAACGCUGGCGGCAGGCCUAACACAUGCAAGUCGAGCGGUAGAGAGGUGCUUGCACCUCUUGAGAGCGGCGGACGGGUGAGUAAUGCCUAGGAAUCUGCCUGGUAGUGGGGGAUAACGCUCGGAAACGGGCGCUAAUACCGCAUACGUCCUACGGGAGAAAGCAGGGGACCUUCGGGCCUUGCGCUAUCAGAUGAGCCUAGGUCGGAUUAGCUAGUUGGUGAGGUAAUGGCUCACCAAGGCGACGAUCCGUAACUGGUCUGAGAGGAUGAUCAGUCACACUGGAACUGAGACACGGUCCAGACUCCUACGGGAGGCAGCAGUGGGGAAUA
rnacentral:rRNA from 1 species